rnacentral:rRNA from 1 species
GCCAGCAGUUACAUCAGUCUGCAAUUCACCACUGGCAGCCCACUAAAGCUCAGCAUGUGUGACCUUGGUCAGUACCUGGAUGGGAGACCUCCUGGGAGAGCUAAGGUUGCUGAUG